ACGUAGGGUGCAAGCAUUGUCCGGAUUUAUUGGGCGUAAAGAGCUCGUAGGCGGCUUGUCACGUCGGAUGUGAAAACUCGGGGCUCAACCCCGAGCCUGCAUUCGAUACGGGCUAGCUAGAGUGUUGCAGGGGAGACUGGAAUUCCUGGUGUAGCGGUGAAAUGCGCAGAUAUCAGGAGGAACACCGGUGGCGAAGGCGGGUCUCUGGGCAACUACUGACGCUGAGGAGCGAAAGCGUGGGGAGCAAACAGGAUUAGAUACCCUGGUAGUCCACGCCGUAAACGGUGGGCGCUAGGUGUGGGGAACCUUCCACGUUCUCUGUGCCGAAGCUAACGCAUUAAGCGCCCCGCCUGGGGAGUACGGCCGCAAGGCUA
rnacentral:rRNA from 1 species